rnacentral:rRNA from 1 species
AUGCGCCCGCGCAACCCCGCCGUCGCGCACCAUUUGCCUCGCCGCCCCUCCGUCGCCCGGCCUCCUACCAUCUCCGGCACCCCCAGCCUCAUCGUCUCGGCCGCUUGCCAUGACCGCCGCGGUGGAGCUCCCAGCCUCCGGCAGCCGUUGCUGCAGUCCGGCACCCCUGCUUCCUCACACGUCGACCCCUCUCUUUCGGGAGAAUCUCUCUCUCUAAUCUCCCCUUCUCCUUCUUCUUUCUCUCUCUCAUCUCUGUUUUCUCCAGGGAAGGGAGUCACCACAUGGAACACAACCAGAAACGCCCAGGGAAAACAUUUGUAUGACCUCCGGUGUUGCUUGAUGAUUCCUGAAGUUUAUUCUCAGAUGUACUCCGGGACUUAUACACCGGGACGGAGGGAGUAG